rnacentral:rRNA from 1 species
UACAGAGGUCCCAAGCGUUGUUCGGAUUCACUGGGCGUAAAGGGUGCGUAGGUGGUCGGGUAAGUCUGAUGUGAAAUCUCUGGGCUCAACCCAGAAAUGGCAUUGGAUACUAUUCGGCUCGAGGAGUGGAGGGGGGACUGGAAUACUUGGUGUAGCAGUGAAAUGCGUAGAUAUCAAGUGGAACACCAGUGGCGAAGGCGAGUCCCUGGACACUUCCUGACACUGAGGCACGAAAGCUAGGGGAGCAAACAGG